GAUAAUCGAUUAUUGUUUCAUGAUAAUCGAUUAUUCUAGUGCAAAAAGCAUGUGAUAAUCGAUUAUAGCUUGUCCAUAAUCGAUUAUACCAGUAAAAAUUACAAGGUUUAAUAUUUUCCUACUACAUUCAAAGUCUACAAGUUGCUUUUUAAAUAUUUUUCUACUACAUCCAAAAUCUACAAGUUGCAGCAUCAUCAAAAUACAUCUUCAGGUUUUACCAAUACUCCUUAUUGGUAACAAUCUCCCCCUUUUUGAUGAUGAUAAAAAAUUCUCUUUUUUAAAAGCAACUCUGGUUUACCUGCAACACAUACAAGCUAAUAGGCAACCACAAAGUUAGCAGUACCUGUACGAUUGUAAAAUAUUUCUCCCCUAAAUUCUCGCCCUUUUUGAUCAUAAGCAAAAAGAAUAAUGUAACAGAC
rnacentral:lncRNA from 1 species